GCACGCUACAGGUAAAAUUCAUAGUUCCCACUACAAGGAUCUCCACCCCUCUAGUAAAUCACCUUCCUCACAGGUCUUUAAUAUCGCCCUAUCUAGCUUUAUCCAUGAUAACUUAGUGCACCUUUGCACCACAACCAGUAUUACAACCUGUUUGAAAAAGCCUAUUCCCAUGAAAACAUUACACCAUCAGAAAGGAAUGAAAACUAUUGUAUCUGCAACUUUAACGCCAGACAGUGUCCUAUUCCCACGGAGCUGCACCAAAACUAGCAUUACAACUAGUUCU
rnacentral:misc_RNA from 1 species